GUACCGCCCGGUCCCCUCAGCGCCCGCGGAGGCCUGACCCGCCGCCACCUUGGGUCUGCCCGGCCCUGGGGCUGAGACAGCCCCUGGCUGGGGCCGGGGGGGGGGGCCGGGACCCCCCCACGCUGCCCCCCGGCCUCCCCCAAACCCCCGGCUGUGGCUGCGCUUGCAGGGUCGGGCACCCCCGGGCUCGGCCGCCGCCGUGCGGGGCAGCAUCCCCAGGAAAGCCGCUUCCCAGGGCUGGUUUCGGGUCUCCUCCACAGCUCUGGAGCAUCCCUGGCUCCCGGAGUUGCGACCACCAGCCCGGGGCGUGCCUGGGGUAAGGCAGAGGACGCAGCACUCCUGCCCCAAGGGCUGAACAUGAGAGAGGGAUUAUAACAAAGCAUCACUUCAACCACAGAUAGAAAGCAGGCGUCUCCGGUAUCCAGCGCUCCGGCGUCUGACAGCUUGCAGCCAUACCACAGAACAGCUCAGGACGGGAAGUGAUCUCCUCUUACAAAUUACAGGAGCCAAUUUUACACAGGGCAAACACUUCCCAUUUUGCAGGGACCAGAGCGAGACCGUGAAUGGCAGCAGGUCAGGGCCUCUGCUCUCCUCGUUGCUCUCCAAACCCUUCCGGACACGCUGCGGGAGAAACAUCGGCACCUCCGGGCACCCGCGGCCGGUAAGACCGCCUCGGAACCACGUCUGUGGGUGCCGGACCCCGAGCAGGCGCUUGGGAUGCUCCAAAGCCCUCGCAGGACAGCUCUCCGUGCAGAAGUUUUUCCCCACUCAAUCGUUUCAGCCGUGUCUGGCAGCUAAGCGAUCCUUAGCCUGGAUAAAAAUCUGUAAGGCUUUGACAAGGAACACAGACAUCAGUAAGAGUGAAAACAUUCGAGGCAAACCUUCGGCUUUCAGUGCGUACAUGUGCCACAACAUUUGCUUUCCCGAAGUUAAACACCGAUCAGCAUCUCUUCUGUGACACAGUGCCUUGCAGUGAGCUUUGCUGACCGCAAUCUGUCUCAUCCAGGCUUGUUUCGGGGGAAAUGGGUGAUUUUAUCAAAAUUUCUUUACUGUCCUUUGAUAUGGGUCUUAGCUGCUAAUGGCACUAGGAAGUAAAAAGAAAUGGGAAUAGAAAUACACAACUAUGAAGAAUUCAAACAGUGAGUUUAAUUCAGCCAGUUCCAACUAAAUUGAUAAUUCCCUGAAAAACAAACCUUGUGCCGAAAACACAGAACAUGUUUUUGACUUGACAGCUGGCGAGAACAACUAAGUGAAAAGGUGAAUGGAGUAUUCCUGCCUUCUCUAAAAAAACAGAAGGUUCCACACAUGCUGAAAAUGCCCCUUGUUUUUUUACUAAAUGGGUUGGUUUUGGAGGUAGCUGUCGGGAAGGCUUUGCAAAGAAAGCAGAGGUCUACACUCUGAUACAAGCAGUAAUUUCAGAUGCCCACAAUGGAAAUGUUUUACAAACGUCUGGUUUUCAAAAAGUGUUUAUGCUUCCUUAAACAAAAACCCAGGGCUUUUACAAAUGGCUCAGAUUAACCCAGAAACCUGAAGAACCAAAAAAAAAAAAUCUGUUAUUAUUUUUAAAAAAUCCUAAACCCAGCUUUCCCAGUGGUUCUUUACCUGGGCUUCAGGAAGAUGCAGCGUACAACAAAAUGAUGCGAGGUUCAGGCUCUGGCCAGCCCGGGCUGAGGGAGCUAGCUGGACAGCCUGGCUCAGUUUCUCUUAGCACUGAAAUACUUUUUCCAAACCAAUACCAAAAAAGGUUUGUUUCUAGGUCAAGACCUCAGUACUAAAUUUUAACCAGGGCCUGACAGUCAAAUCUGAACACAGCUGUAAAAUGGAUUCGCAACAGCAGCUCAGACAUUCUUUUUCUAAUUGGAAAACAGUCACUGAGCCUUGCGCGUCUAAAGGUGAAAGCUAUUUUUGACAUAAAAAUUAGCACGUAGUUCCUCUGUCAUCCUUCAGUUGCUGCUCUGGAAGCUGUGAGCGAAUGAUCCAAAGAUAAGAGGUAUAAACAUGCUGAAUUAAAUAAAUAGGUGGAAGGGGAUCAAGUUUUAAGUUUUAUUCUGCCUGACGAUUAGGAGAGGAAGAGAUUUAUUUUUACACUUGCUAUUUAUCCUAAAAAGCACCAGUAAAAAAGUCCACUUAAGCACCGAGACAGACCUCAAAGGCAUCUGAAAACUUGAAGGGCUUUUAAUAGCUGCCUUUCGAAUAUACUGGUAAAUCUAUUUUUGAGAUGGAUAAACUAAGCCACCAACAAAGCAAGGCAGGAGUUUUCAGUAGGACCCGGCAGUGAAAACCUGUAGUCCACUUCUCAACAACUCGGCUCCCAUGCGGGGACCCUAAGUGGUGAGAUAAAAAAAUAUCAAGAGUACUGGACACUUUUGAAAACCUGGGCAUUCUUUAAAUCCAAAUUUUCCUUCCUUCCUUCUUUGGUGGGAACCUCACCCUGAGAGCCUUGAAAAUUAACCCCAGGCAGUUUUCAAAAUACAUCUGAGAGUGACGGUUUCUAAAAUAAAAGUGAGCGAAGAGCGAGCAGAACUUGGAGGGCUUAUCACCGCCAGUAAUGCCUCCGACUAAUCCCUCGGCAGCCCCGGCCCCUUUAUGUAACCCGGGAUUGCUGCAGCUCAAACCGCUUACUGGGUUUUUGGUGUUUUUCUUUAAACCUCUUGUGGACAAAUGCAAAUACAUUAAAUACUUUUUUUCUUCCGCCACUCUAAAGAAAAAGUUAUCGUAAGAAGGGGAAAAAAAAAAUCUUUUAUUUGUGAACAAUGGCAAAUAGAAUUUAACUCAUACGUUGAGAAUAACACGCGUUUCUCUCUCUCAUCCGUCAUCUUGACUGAACAGAAAUCUCCCCAAUUUACAACACUCAGGUGUAACUCUCCAAUGGCAAGACACGGAAGGUCAAAGCCCAAAUUCCUCCUCGCCCCAAGCGCCCUCUGGAAGCGGUGGGGCGUUCCAAAUAAAGAAACCAACGUGCCCAAGGUAAACCACUCCUAGUUUUGGGGCAGCGUGGAUGGCUGUGCCGCAACACCUCCUUCCCGCGGCCCCGCAGCGCCUCGCCCGCACAGCGCCGGGCACCCGCGGGCUCUCCUCGCCCGCAGGAUGCGUUUCCGUGCCACUGAUCUGACCGCUCUGACUUUCCAUGGCACAAAUCCUUCCAAGGCAAAAUUCAACUGUAAAACCUUCCGUCGGUGCUAAGCCAUUAACCUAAUGCUCGAACGCUUAUGGAAACUUAAGAAGGAAAAAAUAAAACCCCUAUUGAACCACUUGCAAUCGGAGACCUGAAUGGGCUCGAUAUAAAACCCACUGAACUCAACGGCAGCAAUAGGCUUCCCUGGACGUUGGACUAGAUCCAGCUUAAAAGUUUCCAUUAAAUAAACUAGGCUAAGCGCAUCAGCUGCAUAGAAACUAACUCGGUGUAACAGGAGCAUCUGUUCUUCACAUCCACCAUUUUCUUAUAGUCUUAACUCCCCCGUGCUGCGGUGACACGAGUUGCCAUACAAAUCCCUCAUCGCUGUGGUGCAGCUACGCGCCGGCUCCCGACAGCAGCUGGCCUCACUGCCUCGUUAUGCUGUGGAUGAACCAUCGAUUACAAGCUCAGGGACGCCCAAACUUCAUCUAAGGGUCAUCUCUGCCGUUUACCCAGACCCAGAACGCUACACCUACUAGGUAAAACUGGUGCAAGUUGGUCUCAUUGCCACGGGUAGCAGAGAUGGCUUGGAAACUACACAUCCCAACAUGCAAGGCCCCACCAGCGCGGGCUGCUCUACGCUACGGGAGGAGGGAGUUCUGCUGGGGCGCGGUCGCCUCGUGCCUCGGGAUCGGCCGGGGCGGCCGAAGUCAUGCAGCUGCCUGCACGCAAUGCUCUACACAGUGCAAAAACGAAGACCUCUACACAUCUGGAGUAAGAACAGUGGUAACAAAGUCAUAGCUACAUAUUCUUCUCUACAUUUUUGUUUAUUGAGACAAACUAAUUAAAAGGCACAAACAUAGGGCAUAUGUUUACAUGGACAUUAUAACAAACAUAUACAUUAAAAGUGUAGGAAUGUGUUUCCUUUCUGCUAAACAGAAAGUUCCUAAGCUUUUAUAUAUACAAAAGUUGUACAAUUUGAUGUCCUAAAGUACAAAAGAUCAUUUAUAAAAUUAUUUUACACUAAGCUCUAUUUUUUUUUUGUUUGUUUUUAUUUUACUAUGUAGUCCAAGCCCCUAGAACAGUUUCACGUAAUGAUACAGAUACCUGUCACCUGAGCCAGCAGCCUGGCAAUCACUGCUUGUACUGACACGGCAGGGUACAAACGGAAGCAGUCCAUUUUGACUAGUCAGUCCUGCUAGCACUCUGUGAAAAUGCGCACACGCUACUCUCCAUAGCUUUCAACUUCAUUAAGAUAAAAACAUCUCAACUGUAGUUUUUUUCUUUUUUUUUUUAAUAUAGAGUCUUGGGUUUAGGGUGGUUGGUUUUUUUUUUUUUUUUUUAAACAAAGUUUUAAAAACGUGAAUAUGUGACAUGAUAGUCUAAAAAGUAUAUCUGUUUCCCUAGAUUUUGCUUUCUACUUUAUGUACAGAUAAACAGGUUAAGAAAUAAAAAGCACAUGUAGCUUAAACAUGUGUGACCAUUUGUGAAGAAGUUCUGGGCUGGACAGACCAAACCAUCACUCCAGAACUCCCACAAACUGAUAGAAAUGUGUUAACACAAUAGAAGAGUAACGUAAAAAUGAUGAUGUUUGCAAAUAUUUACAAAGUUGAACAGAUUUGCACAACACUUGAUUAAGAAAUAGGGGAGAAAUUAAAAGACGCUCUCUGCUUGUCCUGGAGGGGCAUCCUACCUAGUUAGUGGUUAGAAUAAAAACUGUAUACAAUUUAAUAUAAGACAAAACUUCUAGUGAACAACUAACACGUCUGUCCCCUGCUGUAACACCAGCAGGCUCUGACUGGGAGGCAGAGGGCAUAAAAAUCAUACCCAGUGCCUCCAGAAUCUUCCAGCUUAAAGCAAUAUUUCUUAAGUUUCAAAAGCACUCCUUUUGCUCCUAGAUAAGAGUCCCAUAGGGGUCUGACUGUUCAGAGACCAUGUUUACACACAUUGCGACUCCUCUUCUGUCAGCCAUGGCUGUUUCUCACCAAACAGUAACAGUUUUUUUAAAAAAAAUGUUGACUACAAUGCUAUAUUCCCUUAGGGUAAUAUGUUGGGUAAUAUUUACAUCUCCAAAUAUCAGGUCACAAUCCCUAUUAUAUGUUGAAGUUAGAAUGAUAAGUUAUCAUAUGCUUUGCAUAUCAGAGCUGGUAUCACCUUUCCCAUAGGGAAUGCUGCCUGAAAUUAUCAUAUUCCCAAAGGUAAAAUGCAUAUUUUCUCCAAAAUGCAUUUUUUUUUUAAUGACAACAUUGUAAUGCAUUUACUC